rnacentral:hammerhead_ribozyme from 1 species
AUCCAACUGACGAGUCCCAAGUGGGACGAAACGCAGGUCCUGCAU